rnacentral:misc_RNA from 1 species
AACGCACAUUGCGCCUCCCGUCACAGGGAGGCAUGCCUGUCUGAGCGUCGUUUAAACCCAUAAAUCCGUCCGGAUUUGUGUUGGGCUCUGCAUGCGCUCGCAUUGCCUGAAACGCAUGUGUCGAAACGUGGACGAGUUCCUUUCUGGACGCGCCGCGGGAUGACCCGACAUUUCAUGUUUGGCCUCAGAUCAGGUAGGGACACCGCCUGAACUUAA